rnacentral:lncRNA from 1 species
GGUAACUGUUGAGCUAAUAAGGCGCGGACAUAUGGUAUAAUUAUUGAGCCAAUAAGGUGCGGACAUAUGGUACACCAGUACUCCAUUCAGUUUUAUUGAUUCGCAGUGCACCAGGGUAGCACACUGGACCUUUGCAAAUUGCGAGGUUCGAGUAUUCGAGCUGUGUUCUGAGUCCUUUCAGACUUUCUGGUGGGUCGUUGACAGUGUUCCGACCUAUGGUUCGUAUCCCGAGAAUUG